GAUGAACGCUAGCGGCAGGCUUAAUACAUGCAAGUCGAGGGGCAGCAUGAUUGCAGCAAUACAAUUGAUGACGACCGGCAAACGGGUGCGGAACACGUACACAACCUUCCUACAAGUGGGGAAUAGCCCAGAGAAAUUUGGAUUAAUACCCCGUAACAUAGCGAUGUGGCAUCACAUUGCUAUUAUAGCUUCGGCGCUUGUUGAUGGGUGUGCGGCUGAUUAGAUAGUAGGCGGGGUAACGGCCCACCAAGUCUACGAUCAGUAGCUGAUGUGAGAGCAUGAUCAGCCACACGGGCACUGAGACACGGGCCCGACUCCUACGGGAGGCAGCAGUAAGGAAUAUUGGACAAUGGACGCAAGUCUGAUCCAGCCAUGCCGCGUGAAGGAUUAAGGUCCUCUGGAUUGUAAACUUCUUUUAUAAGGGACGAAAAAAGGUCUUUCUAGAUCGUCUGACGGUACCUUAUGAAUAAGCACCGGCUAACUCCGUGCCAGCCGCCGCCGUAAGAC
rnacentral:rRNA from 1 species